UGAUCCUAGCGACGGAUCCGACCUGUUCUCCGUGGAUCCAAGAGCCGUCUACAUUAAGUUUCAGCUGUCCUUUCUCCGGCGGAAUCCAUCUUCGCGGUCCACGAUGGUGUUUGGAUCCGGUUGUUUGGCUCUGAAAAUCGAGUUGUUGCGGGCUUUCCAGACGAACCACAACACCGUCGCCACCAACUCCUUUUCGGAGUAGGAACAGAUGCUCGGUCGUCUCCGAACUUGUAUUACAAAGCGAGCAUAUUGGGUCAGGUAACAGCUUUCGCUUGUAGAGAUUCUCUCUUGUUGGGAUAGCGUUAUGGCAGAUACUCCACAUAAAGAUGCACAAC